GGGGAUAUAAUGGUUUCGACACAUUCUUGGUUAUUGGCAUUGCAGUAGUGUGGCAGACUAUAAUUGCUACUAGGCUUUUCUAAAUGGAAAAGAAGAAAAACAAGUUUCAAACUACAACAUGUUUGCAAACAGAAACUUUUUCGCAUUCGCUUAAUAUAUAGAAGCAUGCAGCAUUCUUUAAACUUGCCUUAGGUUUCUAGAGUGUAGUCUUAUAAGGAUGGUUAUUGAUUUGACGAGUCAAUGAUGAAAUUUAGUCAAGUUUGUCUGAUAACUUUUUGUUUGUUUCAGUAUCUUAUGAGCUUUAUUUAAAAACAAAAUAAACUGUAGACGUGUCAAUGUUCUAAGUGUGUGGACAGGGGUUCGACUCCCCUUAUCUCCACCA
rnacentral:tmRNA from 1 species